rnacentral:lncRNA from 11 species
AUGCCCACACUCCUCAGAGAAGACCUGGGCACUGCUGACGGCCUGGCUCCAACAUCGCAGCCUGGCCAUUCAACAUCAGAGCAGGCAGGGCUUUCUCCUCCUCUGCAAGAUCUACAGGGAGACCAUGGGCCUUCAGGAGCUCCUGGACGGGAUCUUCGGGGGAAUGCAAUCACCCACACCAACAUCACUGUGGAGUUCCUGACCUUGGCUGGCUGGCUGGGCCCCCUGCUAUAUAAGGAAGACCGGGCACUUGCGAAGCGUCACCUGACUGCCAGGUGCCUCCUUCUCUUCCACCAUGAGGCGGCCAAGAUCCGGAAGGCAGCCCUAGAAUGCUUCCAGCAUUUUCUCUGGCACCCGGUACAUCCCCUUGAGGAGCGCCAGACCAUCAAUGGCCUCCUGGCGGUGCUAAUGCAUGUGGAGGAUGAAGAUGAGGAGGUGACCAAGACUGCAAGGGAGACCCUCAAGGAGGCAGCGGAGGUCCUGCGAUGGCACCUGAAGGACAGCGUUCUGGCGGAGGACACCUUCAGCCUGCAGGAGCUGCUUCACAAGAUCUCCAAGUGCUUGAUCCAUCACUGCAGCCCCAGGAGAGAGGUGGAGGAGCAGGUGUAUGGCUGCCUGCGUUUCUUUAAAAGCCAACGUCCAUCGGCAAAGAAGGUGGUGGCCAUGUUGCUCAGUCAUGUUCUUCACAAGAACUACAACAUGUGCACCGAUAGAAACAUCUACACCUUCGAGGCCUGGCUGAUGAACCUCCUUGCCGACCAUGACCCUGAAGUCAGAUGAGUUGGCAGGGAGACCAAGACCAUCCUCGUCAGGGUCUCUGCCCUCCACAAGAGAGAAGGAAGGAAGGAGGGAGAAAGGGAAGGAGGGAGGGUUAGUGGGACUGAUGGACGGGAGGAGGAAGAAAGGGAGGGAGGGAGGAAGGGAGAAAGAAAGAAAGGAGGAGGGAGGGGCUGAGCAUGAAGGGCGGCUCCAAAGGGGGGCAAGUGUGGGCAAAGAGUUCCGUAGCAUGGAGGUUUUUUAAAGAGCUCGGUCUCCUUUGGGGAGUUCUUUAUGUUUGGGGUGCAAUAGUGUUAAGUCUGAUCUGCUUGGAGUGUAGAGACUAAGUGCACAGAGAAACUCAGGCAGCUGAGACUCUUAGGGCAGAAAGGAGAUAAGAGGGGAUCAGGUCAGCCAAGGGAGGUCUCCUUUGGGGUCUCCUUCAGCUGAGGCCCAAAGACAGGCACCAGUAGAAGAAGACCCAAGCCCUGCUUUCUCUCCCCUUUGCAGAAACACCACGAUCCCCCGUUAGCCCGCCUGGCAAGAAGACCUCUGCUCCAGCUGUGCUGCAGCACCAAAGGGAAGUAGUGUCCAGGAGGUGGGAGUCUGCCCAGCCCUGGCCCAGGGAAGCCCUGCCCCCCUGCAGAAGCCCCGCCCCCAUUCUGGGCCCCAUUGUCACCCAGGGGCCCUUGGGAACAGAGCAGAGCAGAGAAGAAAGACCACCUGUGCUGCCCAGGCCCCUCUGCUGUGCUCUGUUCUGUUAUUUUCUGUGUGGGAUUUGGGGGCCUGGAGGGGAGGAGCCACCACCUGCACCCUGGGCCUUCCUCUUCCACCUCGGUUGGGCCCCGCCUCCUUUGACCUGCGACCUUCCCCUCCCUGACCCCUCCCUCUCGGCCUGGGAUGCCACCACCGCCCCCUCCCUCCCUUCUCCAAGGUGGCAUCCCCACAAGGGCGCUUCUCUCCCUCCCUCUUGCCCACCCAGAUGUGCCGCCCCUCCUCUUCUCCCUCCUCCUUCCCCCCAAACAACCCCAUUGCCCCCAUCUCUGUCCCCAGCCAAUCAGAAGGGUCAAGGGGAGGAUCACAGCCGGGUCUCAGCCCCCCCCCCCCCCCCAAUCUGUUCAGGCAAAUCAGGAGGCUCAGCUCCAUUUGGGGGAAGGUGGCUGCCGGCUUUGCUUGCGCCAAAAAGCCCAGGGCGUUUCAGCACUAAUGGAGCUGGCCUUCCUCAAGAGAUGCACUGAAUAGACAAAUGGAAUUCCAAAAACAAGGGCAACACCAAAUUUGUUGAGUGCAUUAUUUUGCAGAACGUGGUCCAUAUACGGACCUUUGCCCAGGAAUGUCUGGGAUUGUAUAAUGCACUCUCAAAAGAAAAGGGUCAUUAAGGGCGCAGUUAGUCAGCACUUUGAAAGCAGAAGUUCCUGCAUUUUAAAGGGUGGGGCAUCCAGACACUGUCCCACAGAAAAGCGAUUGCAUUUGCUACAAAGCAGGAAAAUUCUUUGCUUUGUAGCAAAUUAUUUUGAUAAUCCUUUAGACACACGCUUUUGUGAAAGGCCUGUCUAAUGGGCUAUGGCCCUGUGUGGAGAGGACCACGGGGGUCCUGGGACUUCCCUGCAGGCUGUCCAAACAUCCAUCCUGCACCUUCUGGGCUCCUGGAGCCCAGAAGGUGCGAGAUUGCCACCACCCACUCCCAAAACCCCUUUAAACCGGGAGGGGAAGCAAGGGCGAGGCAGGAGGGAUUAGCCCCCCGCCCCUCGGAUUCUCAGUGUAAUUGAUACAUCCUAGGAAGUAUGCUGUGAGGCCGGUAAUUAUUCUUACUCCCUACCCCCAUAUUAAGGGGUUUGGGAGGGGGUGGGGGCUGUCUUCCAGUCCUCUUAAAAGGUUUUGGGAGGGCAUCUGGACACCCAUUCCAGAAAGCACUUGCUUCCUGGGGUGUGUAGGGACUAGAAGCCGGGAACUUUCACGUUUUUAAAAUGCGAUUGUUCCCGGUUUAAACUGCUCUCCGGAACCACCCUAAGGAAAGAUUCUCCUGCCUGGAUAUUUGUAUAGGGAUUCAUGGGGUCAGGAAGGAGAUGGAAGGAAGACCCAAGGUUUCCCUGGCACAACCAGACAGGGUGCAAAAUGUUCAUCCUCCCAGAUAUUUGCAGGGAGGCCUUACGUGAACGCGAAUGCAUUCACCACAAAGCAGGAAAACGCUGCUUUGUGAUGAGAUUAUUUGUUAGCGGGAAAGAAGUGGGACUUCUUAUAAGACCUGCAUUUUCCCUGCUGUGGGAGGAGGCUGGACUGUCCUUUCAGAAGUGCUCGGAUUCUGGGGACAGUCUGUACAGCCCUCUUGUGUUUUCUGGGCUGAAUCAGCCCAGAAUACCUGAGAGGGCUCUGAGCCGCUCCCCAACCCCCUCCCCCACCCCAAAGGGCUUUUAAAAAUAACUUAACUGGCUGGCAUUAAACUGUUGCCAGAGCUCUCUUGGCGCAUAAAAAUGAUGUACCAGGAGAAGGGGGGAGGAAAAUUGCUCCUGCCCCCUCUUCUCCUGACGCAUCAUUUUUAG